CAGAGACACGGACAAGAAUGUCCAGAGGAGAAUUAGUUAUGUAGCCCCAAACUGGAAACAAUCAAAAUACCUAGCAGUAGUGAAGUGGAUAAAUGAAUUUUCUUAUAAUCAUACCAUGGAAUAUUAAGCAGCAGUGAAAAUAAACAAAACAGAACUUCACAGCAACAUGGAUUAAUGUUAUAAAUGCAAUGCUGAGCAAAAGAAGCAAAACACAAAAGAUAUGUAGGGAAGGAUUCCAUUUAUAUAAACUCCAAAAACAGAAAAAUCUUCACUGUAUUGUAUAAGAAUGGAUAAACUAUAAAGAACUAUAACAGCCGGCAGAGAUUACCAUAAAAAUACAAGAACGAUUACCCCUAUGAAGAAAGGAGGGCAUGGGACUGAGAAGGCGUGCUUGGGGAUUCCCAUGGUGCUGGCAAUAUUCCAUUUCUUGACCUGGUUGGAUAUGUCCUGCUUCAUGAUCGUGAGAGCCAAAAUAAAUUCACAAUUCCUCUGUUAGUCACAAUACCAGGAUUUCUGAGUGCCCAUCCUAGUGACAGUGAGAGGGCAGUCUUUUCGCUUCCUAAGAUUGACCCUAAGCUAACAUCUGUGCCAGUCUUCCUCUACUUUGUAUAUGGGACGCUGCCACAGCAUGGCUUGAUGAGUAGUGCGAAGGUCCGAGCCAGGGAUUGGAAUCUGUGAACCCCGGACCGCCAAAGCAGAAAGCGUGAACUUAACCACUACGCCAUGGAGGGACCGCCGUGCCCAGUUGGUUUAAAUCAGCGCCUCUGAGAUGGCAGCACCAGGAGACCCCUUGGGCUCCAAGCAUCCAACCCCCAUGAGACAGCAGAGCUUCAUCCUGCAAGGCACGGCACCAAGUCAAAGAACUGGGUGAGCCCCCUCACACGGAGGGCGCUGGAUAGAGACGUUUAGUGUAACCAGAAAUUCAUUCUUCCCUCCAGCAAAUGUUUAUUAAGCAUCCACUAUGUUCCAGCUGUUAGAAGCCGUGGGGUUGCAACAGACAAUAAACCAAUAUAGUCUGUGUGAGUGUGUGUGUGUAUGUGUGUGAGAUGUUGAAAAGUUCUCCUAGGGAGAAAAAUUAAGACGGGAAGGGGAACAAGGAAUGUGGAAAUGGUUUGCAAUUUGAAAUAGGAUGGUGCAGGAAGGCCUUCUGGGAAGGGACCUUUGAAUAGAGAUCAGAAGAUAUGGUGGGAAUAAGCCAUGAAGACAUCUGAGGGAAGAGGGUCCCAGGCAGAGGGGACAGCAAGUGCAAAUGCCCUGGGGCAAGAUUGUGCUUGUCAUGGUUCAAAGAGCAGUGAAGAAGCCAGAGAGGGGGCUGAGGCAGGGGGCCAGAUGGAGUAAGGCCUUCCAGGUCACCAGGAUGCCCCAAAGUGGAUGUAAUACAUAGUGACAAAGGUACACAAUAGGAGUGAGGCCCAGAGCCGCUCAUUAGGCAACUCUAAACUUGUGUCUCAUUACCCAACCACACCUCCUGCAGUGCACUAUGAAUUAAUAUUUUCUAUAAAUCCUGUAAUUAUCUUGUGAAUAGCACAAUUAUAUUGCAUUGUAUUUGUAUGUGUUAAAAGCGCUCAUUUGUUAAAUGUAAACAUUUGAAAUAUACCAUGUAUUAUGCAGCCCUUUUCACACUUUUAUUUAAUAAACUGGAAGCCUUAAAAUUGGAAGCAGAAGGGCCUUUUCUUCCAAGAGUUCCCUGGAGGCAGGUCUACACUCACACUCAUCCACACCCUCACAUACACCACACUGACUCACCCACUCACCCACAGUGCCCAGCCAGAAGCCCGGGCUGGGAGGCAGAGACCUGUUCACCUGCCACUCGGGGUGGCCUCGGGCAGAUCCCUGCAGUGUCUUCCACUCCCUCCACCUCACCUUGCCCAGCCCUUAACAGUUUAUAGACAGCGUCCUUGUCCUCAUGGACCUUCACUACAAAAUGGGCAGGGGUUAAUGUGUCCAUUUUACAGACAGGUAAACUGAGGCUCUGAGUGGUGCCUGCUCAAAGCGGCUGAGGAUGGAACAGGGAGACUAGAGAAGGCAAAAUGGGGAUGGGGAAGAUUUAGAAGUUCAAAGGUGAGGAGAGGGGCGGGAGACUGUCUUUGCUGACUCUGGUGGACCAUGACCUCAGACAGACCUGGGUUUGAAUCCCAGCCCCACCACUUAUUUACUUUGGAUAAAUUCCUUAAACUCUCUGAGCCUCUGCUUCCAAAUCUUUAUAUUUACAUCCAAAUCAUUGUGGCAAUAAUGAUAGUACUCAC
rnacentral:lncRNA from 1 species